GAGUUUGAUCCUGGCUCAGGACGAACGCUGGCGGCGUGCUUAACACAUGCAAGUCGGACGGUCUGUAUAUUGAAAGCUUGCUGGAUAUGUACGGAUAGUGGCGGACGGGUGAGUAACGCGUGAAUACCUGGCCAUCGGAGGGGGACAACGGCUGGAAACGGUCGCUAAUACCGCGUAAGCCGUAAGGUGAAAGGCCACGGGAGUGGCUGCCGAUGGAUGGGUUCGCGUCCUAUCAGCUGGUUGGUGGGGUAAGGGCCUACCAAGGCUAAGACGGGUAGCCGGUCUGAGAGGGUGAUCGGCCACACUGGAACUGAGAUACGGUCCAGACUCCUACGGGAGGCAGCAGUGGGGAAUAUUGGGCAAUGGGGGGAACCCUGACCCAGCGACGCCGCGUGAAGGAUGACGGCCCUACGGGUUGUAAACUUCUUUUUUAAGGGAAUAAAGUGAGCCACGUGUGGCUUUUUGCAUGUACCUUACGAAUAAGGAUCGGCUAACUCCGUGCCAGCAGCCGCGGUA
rnacentral:rRNA from 1 species